rnacentral:misc_RNA from 1 species
UAAUAAGUGUUUUAUGGCACUUUUUAAAUCCAUAUCCACCUUGUGUGCAAUGUCGAUCGAUCUUCUUUCUUGAGGAUCGACCAAACAUCAACCUUUAUCUUUUAACUCUUUGUCUGAAAAAUAUUAUGAAUAAACAAUUCAAAAUA